GAUGAACGCUAGCGGCAGGCCUAACACAUGCAAGUCGAGGGAGGAGCCUUCGGGCUUCGACCGGCGUACGGGUGCGUAACGCGUAUACAAUCUGCCUUUCACAUAGGGAUAGCCCGAAGAAAUUUGGAUUAAUACCUAAUGGUAUAUAGAUGUGGCAUCACCUUUAUAUUAAAGCUGAGGCGGUGAAAGAUGAGUAUGCGUUCUAUUAGCUAGUUGGAGAGGUAACGGCUCCCCAAGGCGACGAUAGAUAGGGGUUCUGAGAGGGAUAUCCCCCACACUGGUACUGAGAUACGGACCAGACUCCUACGGGAGGCAGCAGUGAGGAAUAUUGGACAAUGGUCGGAAGACUGAUCCAGCCAUGCCGCGUGCAGGAAGACGGCCUUAUGGGUUGUAAACUGCUUUUGCAGGGGAAGAAUAAGGACUACGCGUAGUUUGAUGACGGUACUCUGCGAAUAAGCAUCGACUAACUCCGUG
rnacentral:rRNA from 1 species